CCACGUAGACGUUCACUGGCUUACACCCACCUGUCAGUUAAUUGAGCGAUAAUGAGCUUGUAACUUCCGCCUAGAUAAACUAGGAUAUGCUCUCGCCGAUUGUUUGAAACGCACGUUGCCGUCACUGGUGGGAGUAAGACGCUAGCUGCACCUUGUCAGGAGUUUCAUGCCGGAACUUCACGUUAGGCAUUGCCCUGUUUGACUAUAGUAUUGCAAGAGGUCUCCCCUGGCUACUGGGGUUAACAAGGGACGCCAAGCUGACGUGGGUCCCUCCUCCCCAUGUCCACCUGGGUCCUUCCUUUGGUAUGACCGUCAAGGCCAAGAUCACAGCAGCAAUUGACACACAGUUGAUAGUCUGGCCACUGUUUUCCUCCUGUUUAUUUCUUUGAUGUAGUUCUGUGUGUAUUGACUGACCUAGUUGAAGCCACGUGUCUCGUUGUUAC